rnacentral:tRNA from 1 species
UGGAGAUGUGACUCAGUGGUACAGCACUUGCCUGACAUGAUUGAGCCUCUGGGUUCAAUCCCCAGCACUUAAA